UACGAAGGGAGCUAGCGUUGUUCGGAAUCACUGGGCGUAAAGCGCACGUAGGCGGAUGUGUCAGUCAGGGGUGAAAUCCCGGAGCUCAACUUCGGAACUGCCUUUGAUACAGCACAUCUGGAGUCCGGAAGAGGUGGGUGGAAUUCCUAGUGUAGCGGUGAAAUGCGCAGAUAUCAGGAAGAACACCCGUGGCGAAAGCGGCUCUCUGGAACGGUACUGACGCUGAGACGCGAAAGCGUGGGGAGCGAACAGG
rnacentral:rRNA from 1 species